UCAGAUCUCUAUCGUGAGCUACGGCGAAGAAAAACCGUUGGUACUUGGCCAAAGCGAAGAAGCUUACGCCAAAAACCGUCGUGCGGUAUUGGUAUACUAAUCCAGCCUUUUGGUAAUGGAUAAAGGAUAUGACAAUGAACAGUAACUCUGUGCGAACCCUCGCG
rnacentral:sRNA from 1 species